UGGGGAAUAUUGGGGCAAUGGAGGAAACUCUUACCCAGCAAUGCCGCGUGAGUGAUGAAGGUCUUAUGGAUUGUAAAGCUCUUUGAUUAGGGACGAAUAAAAUGACGGUACCUAAAGAACAAGCCCCGGCUAACUAUGUGCCAGCAGCCGCGGUAAUACAUAGGGGGCGAGCGUUGUCCGGAAUGACUGGGCGUAAAGGGUGUGUAGGCGGUUUGGUAAGUUAGAAGUGUAAUACCCAGGGCUUAACUCGGGUGCUGCUUCUAAUACUGCCGGACUUGAGUGUAGGAGAGGAUGAUGGAAUUCCCAGUGUAGCGGUGAAUGCAUAGAUAUUGGGAGGAAC
rnacentral:rRNA from 1 species